GUCCUGGAAAGAAUGUUCCAGAGAGCAUUCUUUUAAGUUAUGUUGGCAAGCAGAAUGUUCUGAAGGCAACAGUCGAAUCUGUUUUGAAGAGGACCCUUCCACAUGCCAUGUCUUCGGUGACUGGAAGGGCUUUGAGGGAUUCAGUCCGAAUUGCAACCAAAUUCUCUGAUAUGGAGAAGGAUUAUUCUUCUCACAACUCUCUCAGAUAUGAUGUUAUUGUUGAUGUGGCGCCUGAAGUCAAAUGGAUCCCUGAUAAUCGAUACAAAAAUUUGAAGAUUAUUGUUGAAUUAGACAGUGACAUAAAUGCAGAGGGAGCUUCUGAAAAAGAAUUAAGACGUCGUCAAAA
rnacentral:misc_RNA from 1 species